rnacentral:rRNA from 1 species
GCGCAGCAGUCGCGAAUUUUUCUCAAUGGGGGAAACCCUGAAGGAGCGACGCCGCGUGGAGGAUGAAGGCUUUCGGGUUGUAAACUCCUGUCAUUUGGGAACAAGUUGCACACGUUAACUGCGUGGGCAUUGAUAGUACCAGAAGAGGAAGGGACGGCUAACUCUGUGCCAGCAGCCGCGGUAAUACAGAGGUCCCAAGCGUUGUUCGGAUUCAUUGGGCGUAAAGGGUGCGUAGGUGGCGCUGUAAGUCGGGUGUGAAAUUUCGAGGCUUAACCUCGAAACUGCACUCGAUACUGCGGUGCUUGAGGACUGGAGAGGAGACUGGAAUUCAUGGUGUAGCAGUGAAAUGCGUAGAGAUCAUGAGGAAGACCAGUGGCGAAGGCGGGUCGUCUGGACAGUUCCUGACACUGAGGCACGAAGGCCAGGGGAGCAAACGGGAUUAGAUACCCGCGUAGUCC